GAUGGGGGUGGGGGUUAUACAUUUUACUCUUCAUCAUAUACAGUGUGAUACAAUUUAGUCAUGAAUAUAUUGUGUUCAUUGGCUGCUUCAGUUAUGACAAUCAAUAUUCAUGAGCUAAACUCGUAAACUUUAAAAUGAGUCGGGCCAGUUUUCUUACAAUCCUGCAUGCAAAACUCCCAGACAAAAGAAAUUAUUAAAUAAAUAAAAAAAUGUCCACUCAGGCAGAUGGCCAAUUUAAAACAUCAGAUGAAACAGAAAUAAGAUUGAUGCCUUUAAUAAAGAACAUCCCUUUUUAAAAUACAUUUCCAUAUAACACGGCUCAUAUAUCUUCAAGUGCAGCUUUUUACUUUUCUUGCGUGCCGUAGUUCCAGGCGCCGUUUCGGAUCCGGCCUGAGUGGAUAAUUCAAAAUAUUUUGGAGGCUAUUAUUUUCUAUUUGUCAUUUUUACCUAGGUUUGAAGUACCGGCGAAGCUUAUUCGCUUUCCAGCUGUCAGCUGCAUUGAGACCGCUUUUAGCGAGCUUAAGAGAAUGUUCUCUGUCAGCCAUUGAAUACUGCAACCCUCCAUAUUUAGAUUUGCCAUUCAAAAUGAUAGAGGUGUCACAUAAAGAGAGGUCUGACUGUGUCAGUGCAUCUAUAAAAGGUGUCAAACAUGCUGGUUUGAAUCCAGCGUUUAAGUGCUUUUCCUUUCUCUGCCUUCAAUGCCCGCCAGCUGGAGAAGGAGAAUAAAAAGAGCGAGAAAACAUUAAAUGCCACCGCAGCAUCUGUCAAGCACAUCAUAGACAACAUCAAGAUCCUCCUCGCUGCAGUUUGACCCGCUGAACGGUCAUCUGAAGCUGAUAGAAAUGCGAUUCUCUCUCUGCUUAUCCUUUGUGUUUUGGUUGGAUUGUUUGUUUCUCUCUUCCUGUGUUUUCAGGGCCACUUCUGAGACUCAGAGACGGAAAGCAGAGACGUUUAGAGAGUGAUGCUGCCAACCUCUCAACAGGGGGCAAUCGCUUUACCUGUCAACCCCUCUGCAUGUCGCCUUUCAUUUUCCGGCUCGAGGGACAAGAGAAAGCGAAUAACCGCAUUCACAGACACCCAGAUGUUCCAUUGGUUUCCAGAGACUGAACUGUGACAGUGAAUAAACCGAAUGAUGAAAUGCAGCUUUCUCUUGACAACACAAAAUCCAG